rnacentral:rRNA from 1 species
AGAGUUUGAUCAUGGCUCAGAAUCAACGCUGGCGGCGCGCUUAACACAUGCAAGUCGCACGAGAAAGGGGGCAACCCUGAGUAAAGUGGCGUACGGGUGAGUAACACGUGGAUCAUCUACCUUUUAGUGGGGAAUACCCCUGGGAAACCGGGGAUAAUACCGCAUAAGCUCGUGAGAGGAAAGCCGAAAGGCGCUGAAAG